GACGAACGCUGGCGGCGUGCCUAAUACAUGCAAGUCGAGCGAGCGGAACUAACAGAUUUACUUCGGUAAUGACGUUAGGAAAGCGAGCGGCGGAUGGGUGAGUAACACGUGGGGAACCUGCCCCAUAGUCUGGGAUACCACUUGGAAACAGGUGCUAAUACCGGAUAAGAAAGCAGAUCGCAUGAUCAGCUUUUAAAAGGCGGCGUAAGCUGUCGCUAUGGGAUGGCCCCGCGGUGCAUUAGCUAGUUGGUAAGGUAAAGGCUUACCAAGGCGAUGAUGCGUAGCCGAGUUGAGAGGCUGAUCGGCCACAUUGGGACUGAGACACGGCCCAGACUCCUACGGGAGGCAGCAGUAGGGAAUCUUCCACAAUGGGCGAAAGUCUGAUGGAGCAACGCCGCGUGAGUGAAGAAGGUUUUCGGAUCGUAAAACUCUGUUGUUGGUGAAGAAGGAUAGAGGAAGUAACUGGCCAUUAUUUGACGGUAAUCAACCAGAAAGUCACGGCUAACUACGUG
rnacentral:rRNA from 1 species